CCUACGGGGCGCAGCAGUGGGGAAUAUUGGGCAAUGGGCGCAAGCCUGACCCAGCAACGCCGCGUGAAGGAAGAAGGCUUUCGGGUUGUACACUUCUUUUAAGGGGGAAGAGCAGAAGACGGUACCCCUUGAAUAAGCCACGGCUAACUACGUGCCAGCAGCCGCGGUAAUACGUAGGUGGCAAGCGUUGUCCGGAUUUACUGGGUGUAAAGGGCGUGCAGCCGGAGAGACAAGUCAGAUGUGAAAUCCACGGGCUCAACCCGUGAACUGCAUUUGAAACUGUUUCCCUUGAGGGUCGGAGAGGUAAUCGGAAUUCCUUGUGUAGCGGUGAAAUGCGUAGAGAGAAGGAAGAACACCAGUGGCGAAGGCGGAUUACUGGACGAUAACUGACGGGGAGGCGCGAAGGCGUGGGGAGCAAACAGGAUUAGAUACCCGGGUAGUC
rnacentral:rRNA from 1 species